UUAAGCUAUAAAGGGCGUAGGACGGAUGCCUUGGCACCAAGCGCCGAUGAAGGACGUGACAAGCUGCGAUAAGCCACGGGGAGUUGCAAAUGAACUUUGAUCCGUGGAUUUCCGAAUGAGGAAACUCACAUAUGGUAAUGCAUAUGUAACCAUACAUGAAUACAUAGUGUAUGGUGGGGAACCCGGGGAACUGAAACAUCUAAGUACCCGGAGGAAAAGAAAGAAAACAAUCGAUUUCCUGAGUAGUGGUGAGCGAAAGGGAAAGAGCCUAAACGUUUAUAUAGUGAUAUAUAAACGGGUUACGGACCCCAUAACGUACUGAUUUUUGUAGUUGAACACAGUUGGAAAGCUGGGCGAAACAGAGUAACAGCCUCGUAGGCGAAACCGAAAUCAGACCGGGGGUAUCCAGAGUAUCACAGGACACGAGAAAUCCGGUGGGAAGACAGGAGGACCAUCUCCUAAGGCUAAAUACGACUUGGUGACCGAUAGAGUAUAGUACCGUGAGGGAAAGGUGAAAAGAACCCCGGGAGGGGAGUGAAAGAGAACCUGAAAUCCUAUGCUUACAAGCAGACAUAGCACUACUUGAAAGUGUGAUGUCGUACUUUUUGUAGAACGGGCCGGCGAGUUACGAUGUGUAGCGAGGUUAAGUGAUUAAGUCACGGAGCCGAAGCGAAAGCGAGUUUGAAAUGAGCGAUAGUUGCAUGUCGUAGACCCGAAACCAGAUGACCUAUUCAUGGACAGGUUGAAGCAGCGGUAAGACGCUGUGGAGGACCGAACCCACGUUCGUUGAAAAGACCGGGGAUGAGCUGUGAAUAGCGGAGAAAUUCCAAACGAAUCUGGAGAUAGCUGGUUCUCCUCGAAAUAGCUUUAGGGCUAGCCUCUCGUUAGUGUACCGAAGGUAGAGCACUGUAUGAGCUAGGGGGCUUCACGGCUUACUGAACUCUAACAAACUUCGAAUGACGGAUACAUGAUGCGAGGGAGUCAGACAGUGUGAGAUAAGUCUCAUUGUCAAAAGGGAAACAGCCCAGACCUACAACUAAGGUCCCAAAGUACAAGUUAAGUGGUAAAGGAUGUGUCGACGCUAAAACAACCAGGAUGUUGGCUUAGAAGCAGCCACUCAUUUAAAGAGUGCGUAAUAGCUCACUGGUCGAGUAUCGGUGCGCCGAAGAUUAUCGGGGCUAAAACUUGUCACCGAAGUUUAGGGAUAUGCGAUUGCAUAUCGGUAGAGGAGCAAUGUGUACGGGCAGAAGCUGUAUCGAAAGGGGCAGUGGACUGUACACAAGAGAGAAUGCCGGCAUAAGUAGCGAGAGCAAAGUGAGAAACUUUGCCGUCGAAAGCCUUAGGUUUCCUGGGGAAGGUUCGUCCUCCCAGGGUAAGUCGGGACCUAAGCCGAGGCCGAAAGGCGUAGGUGAUGGACAACAGGUAGAUAUUCCUGUACCACCGACAGUCGUUUAAAUGAAGCAAUGACACAGAAGGAUAGUCAAACCGCGUUGAUGGAUAUAUGCGGCCAAAUCAUUAGGCUUAUGUGUAGUGAAGUACGCACAUAGUUAAGGCUGAGUGAUGAUGGGGAGUGAAAACUAGUAAUGAAGUUGAUGAUUCCACGCUGGCGAGAAAAGUUGCUAAAUAUGACUGAAGGUGCCCGUACCGCAAACCGACACAGGUAGGUGAGGAGAAAAUCCUAAGACGAGCGGGAUAACCCAUGUUAAGGAACUCUGCAAAAUCACCCCGUAACUUAGGGAGAAGGGGUACCACGCAAGUGGUCGCAGUGAAGAGGCCCAAGCGACUGUUUACCAAAAACACAGGUCUCUGCUAAAUCGUAAGAUGAAGUAUAGGGGCUGACGCCUGCCCAGUGCUGGAAGGUUAAGGGGAUGUGUUAGCGCAAGCGAAGCACGGAACUUAAGCCCCAGUGAACGGCGGCCGUAACUAUAACGGUCCUAAGGUAGCGAAAUUCCUUGUCAGGUA
rnacentral:rRNA from 1 species